UCGGGAAUUUUGGGCAAUGGGCGAAAGCCUGACCCAGCAACGCCGCGUGAAGGAUGAAGUCUUUCGGGAUGUAAACUUCGUAAGAAUAGGAAGAAUAAAUGACGGUACUAUUUGUAAGGUCCGGCUAACUACGUGCCAGCAGCCGCGGUAAUACGUAGGGACCAAGCGUUGUUCGGAUUUACUGGGCGUAAAGGGCGCGUAGGCGGCGUGUUAAGUCACUUGUGAAAUCUCUAAGCUUAACUUAGAACGGUCAAGUGAUACUGAUGUGCUAGAGUGCAGAAGGGGCAACCGGAAUUCUUGGUGUAGCGGUGAAAUGCGUAGAUAUCAAGAGGAACACCUGAGGUGAAGACGGGUUGCUGGGCUGACACUGACGCUGAGGCGCGAAAGCUAGGGUAGCAAACGG
rnacentral:rRNA from 1 species